AGCACGACUUUUUCAAAAAUGGCCAGCUCUCUGUAUACCCUGUACCGGAUCUCUUUUAGCAUGCCUCCGGUGGAACGAAAUCUAGUUUUUGCCCACAAAAGAACCGGACUUUGAUUGCUUGUAUGCGCAGCACAUUCUUUUUGAUAUCAUUGUAAGCACUAGCUCUCGUGAGCAUCAUAUUUCAUUCCUUUUUUACUAUAUGAAUAUAUAACACCUGCUUCGUUUUUUAUUGUUCAUUGUAUUUUUAGGAACUUUUGUUCAUUGUACAACGGAUAACGGGGCCAGAUAGCUAAAUAUAUCUCGAUUC
rnacentral:lncRNA from 1 species